rnacentral:tmRNA from 1 species
GGGGUUGACUGGUUUCGACAGCAAGAUCAAUGGGUAAGUAAGCAUGCAGAGAACCGUAGCGCGAUCUCUUAAAUCCCUUGCUACACACUUUUAACUGGCAACGAAGAGUUCGCUCUUGCAGCUUAAUCUGAAUAAAGUAGGAUUUCAAGCGUUUUCCCGAAGAUAGUAAGGAAGCAGGAUGUCCCACAAAUGCUCUGUUCUGCGGCGUUUGAUUCUGGGAUAUAGUAAUGCAGAAAUAAGGUUUUGGAAGCUUUGGUCAAAACUCGAAAAUUUCAGAAGCUAAGCCGAAAAUUGGGUGUCUGUGCUCUGUUUAGGUCGAAAAUCAAUUGCAGAAUAAGCAUGUAGAAGGCUUAUGUAUUGCUUGUUUGGACGAGGGUUCGAAUCCCUCCAACUCCACAA